GAUGAACGCUAGCGAUAGGCUUAACACAUGCAAGUCGAGGGGCAGCGAGGGUAGCAAUACCUGUCGGCGACCGGCGCACGGGUGAGUAACGCGUAUGUAACCUGCCCGCAACAGGGGGAUAACCCGGCGAAAGUCGGACUAAUACCGCAUAAAACAGGGGUCCCGCAUGGGAAUAUUUGUUAAAGAUUUAUCGGUUGCGGAUGGGCAUGCGUACCAUUAGGUAGUUGGUGAGGUAACGGCUCACCAAGCCUUCGAUGGUUAGGGGUUCUGAGAGGAAGGUCCCCCACACUUGUACUGCGACACGGACCAGACUCCUACGGGAGGCAGCAGUGAGGAAUAUUGGGCAAUGGACGAGAGCCUGAACCAGCCAAGUCGCGUGAAGGAUGACUGCCCUAGGGGUUGUAAACUUCUUUUACAAGGGAAUAAAAUGAGAUACGUGUAUUUUAUUGCAUGUACCUUGGGAAUAAGCAUCGGCUAACUCCGUG
rnacentral:rRNA from 1 species